UUUUACCGUUAGAGAAUUAACUCUAACGUUAGUUAGCUAGCAACCUAGGCUUUUGCAUGAGACACACGGUGUGGAAUCAUGAAUUUAUGUGGGAAGCUGUUAUUCUUAUUAAGUGUUUGUUCAGUUUGUCUAAUUUUGUACCUCGGUGUUUUAGAAGAAAGUGCUUUCCAUCUGGACAUUGAUUGUGGUAACAGAACAGAGAUAAAAGUUGGUAACAAGACCAGUCGUCAUAAACGUUUUAUUGGGGCGGCCAAGACGCUUUACCUGUUGACAUCAGUAGAUGGCCGUGGGUGGUUUCCCUACAGUACAGAUCCAGUGACUUGCAGCCAUUUCAGCAACGCUGCUCAGGAGUAAUCAUUAAACGAGGAUGGAUAUUGACAGCAGCAGAAUGUUUCUAUAAGUUUGAAUACAGAAAUCUAAGUAACUGGAGGGUGAAAUCUGGGACGUCGAACUUGACUGCUGAUGGCAAGUACACACAGACAUCCUCAAUCAAUGCAAUUGUUUUGCAUAAAGAUUACAAACAUAUAACCUCGGUAAACGACAUUGCAAUAGUGAAGCUGGAAACGCCACUGGUAUUCGAUGACUAUGUUAAUCGUGUCUGCAUACCUGACGCAACAAAUGUGGAGGAGUACAAGUAUGGAAGGUGCUACGUUGCUGGUUACGAUGAACGUCCUGGUCCUGAGCAUGGAAUUUUGAGAUCGGACCUAGCGAGCGUAUUUCCACAGCGAUUGUGUAACAAGCGUACAUGGCUGAACUUCAAAGUGGCUGCAGAUAUGAUGUGUGCAGGCCGAGGUUCUGGUUUAGUGGCUGGAUGUGCGAAGGAUAUAGGUGGACCCCUCAGCUGCUACCUCCCUAACACUGCUAGAUACUACGUCAAAGGGAUUCGGAUAAGUGCUGACAAGUGUGGAGUUAUCAGGAGGCCCAAUAUUUUUCUUAAAGUUAGCGUACAUUACCACUGGAUUGCAAGACAAAUUGAAAAUUUCAAGUCUUCAAAAUGUUAAUUAUUAAUUGUCAUCAGUCAUGACAUUGUAAAAGCACCUUUAGGGGUAUUAAAUGUUUGAAAUACAUUAACUGGUUAGAAUUUUAAAGCCAUGUUUGUCUCAACAUAAACUGUACAUUUUAAUAAAAUUUUAAUGGAUGUCCUAA